rnacentral:rRNA from 1 species
UACGUAGGGUGCAGGCGUUAAUCGGAAUUACUGGGCGUAAAGCGUGCGCAGGCGGCUUCCUAAGUCAGAUGUGAAAUCCCCGGGCUUAACCUGGGAACUGCGUUUGAAACUGGGGGGCUAGAGUGCGGCAGAGGGGGGUGGAAUUCCACGUGUAGCAGUGAAAUGCGUAGAGAUGUGGAGGAAUACCGAUGGCGAGGGCAGCCCCCUGGGCCAGUACUGACGCUCAUGCACGAAAGCGUGGGGAGCAAACAGG